UACGUAGGUGGCAAGCGUUAUCCGGAAUUAUUGGGCGUAAAGAGCGCGCAGGUGGUUAAUUAAGUCUGAUGUGAAAGCCCACGGCUUAACCGUGGAGGGUCAUUGGAAACUGGUUGACUUGAGUGCAGAAGAGGGAAGUGGAAUUCCAUGUGUAGCGGUGAAAUGCGCAGAGAUAUGGAGGAACACCAGUGGCGAAGGCGGCUUCCUGGUCUGCAACUGACACUGAGGCGCGAAAGCGUGGGGAGCAAACAGG
rnacentral:rRNA from 1 species